rnacentral:rRNA from 1 species
GACGAACGCUGGCGGCGUGCCUAAUACAUGCAAGUUGAGCGAUGAAGAUUGGUGCUUGCACCAAUUUGAAGAGCAGCGAACGGGUGAGUAACGCGUGGGGAAUCUGCCUUUGAGCGGGGGACAACAUUUGGAAACGAAUGCUAAUACCGCAUAACAACUUUAAACAUAAGUUUUAAGUUUGAAAGAUGCAAUUGCAUCACUCAAAGAUGAUCCCGCGUUGUAUUAGCUAGUUGGUGAGGUAAAGGCUCACCAAGGCGAUGAUACAUAGCCGACCUGAGAGGGUGAUCGGCCACAUUGGGACUGGGACACGGCCCAAACUCCUACGGGAGGCAGCAGGAGGGAAUCUUCGGCAAUGGACGAAGGUCUGACCGAGCAACGCCGCGUGAGUGAAGAAGGUUUUCGGAUCGUAAAACUCUGUUGGUAGAGAAGAACGGUGGUGAGAGUGGAAAGCUCAUCAAGUGACGGUAACUACCCAGAAAGGGACGGCUAACUACGUG